rnacentral:rRNA from 1 species
CGCGUAGGCGGUCUUGUCGGUCAGAUGUGAAAGCCCGGGGCUCAACCCUGGAAGUGCAUUUGAAACAGCAAGACUUGAAUACUGGAGAGGAGAGCGGAAUUCCUGGUGUAGAGGUGAAAUUCGUAGAUAUCAGGAGGAACACCGAUGGCGAAGGCAGCUCUCUGGACAGAUAUUGACGCUGAGGCGCGAAGGUGUGGGUAGCAAACAGGAUUAGAUACCCUGGUAGUCC